rnacentral:sRNA from 1 species
GCCUGGUGGUGCGCACCUGUAGUCCAGUUUCUUGGGAGGCUGAGACAGGAUUGCUUGAGCCCAGGAGUUCCAGGCCAGCCUGAGUGACAGAGUGAGACCCUGUCUCA